GACGAACGCUGGCGGCGCGCCUAACACAUGCAAGUCGAACGGAGAUUACAGGCGGAAGUUUUCGGAUGGAAGCUUGUAAACUUAGUGGCGGACGGGUGAGUAACACGUGAGCAACCUGCCUAUCAGAGGGGGAUAACGAUUGGAAACGAUCGCUAAUACCGCAUGACAUAGCGGAACCGCAUGGUUUUGCUAUCAAAGAUUUUAUCGCUGAUAGAUGGGCUCGCGUCCGAUUAGAUAGUUGGUGGGGUAACGGCCUACCAAGUCGACGAUCGGUAGCCGGACUGAGAGGUCGAACGGCCACAUUGGGACUGAGACACGGCCCAGACUCCUACGGGAGGCAGCAGUGGGGGAUAUUGCACAAUGGGGGAAACCCUGAUGCAGCGACGCCGCGUGAGGGAAGACGGUCCUCUGGAUUGUAAACCUCUGUCUUCGGGGACGAAAGUAGACGGUACCCGAGGAGGAAGCCACGGCUAACUACGUGCCAGCAGCCGCGGUAAUACGUAGGUGGCAAGCGUUGUCCGGAAUUACUGGGUGUAAAGGGAGCGUAGGCGGGCAGGCAAGUCAGGCGUGAAAUAUAUCGGCUCAACCGGUAACGGCGCUUGAAACUGCAGGUCUUGAGUGAAGUAGAGGUUGGCGGAAUUCCUAGUGUAGCGGUGAAAUGCGUAGAUAUUAGGAGGAACACCAGUGGCGAAGGCGGCCAACUGGGCUUUUACUGACGCUGAGGCUCGAAAGUGUGGGGAGCAAACAGGAUUAGAUACCCUGGUAGUCCACACCGUAAACGAUGAUUACUAGGUGUGGGGGGACUGACCCCUUCCGUGCCGGAGUUAACACAAUAAGUAAUCCACCUGGGGAGUACGGCCGCAAGGUUGCAACUCAAAGGAAUUGACGG
rnacentral:rRNA from 1 species